CAGCCGCCGCGGUAAUACGAAGGGUGCAAGCGUUACCCGGAAUCACUGGGCGUAAAGCGUGCGUAGGUGGUGGUUUAAGUCCGCUGUGAAAGCCCUGGGCUCAACCUGGGAAUUGCAGUGGAUACUGGGUCACUAGAGUGUGGUAGAGGAUAGUGGAAUUUCCGGUGUAGCAGUGAAAUGCGUAGAGAUCGGAAGGAACAUCUGUGGCGAAGGCGACUAUCUGGGCCAACACUGACACUGAGGCACGAAAGCGUGGGGAGCAAACAGGAUUAGAUACCCGGGUAGUCCCUGUCUCUUAUAC
rnacentral:rRNA from 1 species